rnacentral:miRNA from 1 species
AGUUGGUGCAAAAGUAAUUGCGGUUUUUGCCAUCAAAAAUGGCAAAAACCACAGUUACUUUUGUACCAA